rnacentral:rRNA from 1 species
CCUACGGGAGGCAGCAGUGAGGAAUAUUGGUCAAUGGACGCAAGUCUGAACCAGCCAUACCGCGUGCAGGAAGACGGCUCUAUGAGUUGUAAACUGCUUUUGUACGAGAGUAAACGCAGAUACGCGUAUCUUUCUGAAUGUAUCGUACGAAUAAGGAUCGGCUAACUCCGUGCCAGCAGCCGCGGUAAUACGGAGGAUUCGAGCGUUAUCCGGAUUUAUUGGGUUUAAAGGGUGCGUAGGCGGUCGGAUAAGUUAGAGGUGAAAUGCCGAGGCUCAACUUCGGAAUUGCCUCUGAUACUGUUCGGCUAGAGAGUAGUUGCGGUAGGCGGAAUGUGUGGUGUAGCGGUGAAAUGCUUAGAGAUCAUACAGAACACCGAUUGCGAAGGCAGCUUACCAAGCUACGUCUGACGUUGAGGCACGAAAGCGUGGGGAGCAAACAGGAUUAGAUACCCGUGUAGUC